rnacentral:tRNA from 1 species
GUGUGUGUAAUUUAAUUAAAAUAUCAAGCUGUGACCAUGACAA